AUGUCUUCCCAAUCAGCAAAAAUGGAGGACAUUCCACUGACUGCUGUCCCAGGUACAGGUGAAACGACAGAUGCCCAAAAUAACACCACCUGCCUUCAAGUGAUCAUCUGCUGUGGUCGUGACCAUACUGUUCCCUCCUGUGCCAAGGACAGGGACUAUAGGAGACUGGCCAUUAGCAGCAUCAUCUGUGGACUCUCCUGCAUUGGAAUUUUAGCUUUGGUCAACUCAGUCAAAGCUCGAGAGGCAAGGAAGACGAUGCCAGAGAAGGCUAAACAAUACUCCCAACGGGCAAAAACGUUUGGGAUCAUUUCUAUUGUGGUGUGGGUGGCGAUUCUGGUACUCAGCCCAGGACUAUUGAUAUUCUGGUCAAAAGCUAACCAGGAAUCCAGCUGGUCAAGCUUGGAGCAAAGAAGUGAAUCAAGCUCCUGCAGAUUGAGGGUGGGGUGA
rnacentral:lncRNA from 1 species